rnacentral:snoRNA from 1 species
GACACACUCCUUAGAUCCACUUCGGGGGCUCCACAUUCCAUGGCCAGCACAUCAGUUUUUAACUGGUUUCUGUCCAUGUUUUGUUGCCCAGCAACGCUUUUGUUGUUCGGUCAGAAGUGCUUGAGUCAUUAGUGUGUGACAUUGAUCUACCUCCAUUGAGUCAUUGACCAUUGUGCAGUGCCUGGCUGUCUACAUUCAGCUGAAUGUCAGUUAUCACAAUGGACACUCUUGUAAUGGGGACAAA